ensembl:snoRNA
CUCCUCUCUUAAAACCCCCAGUGGGCUUUUUGCUAAUGAACCACUGAGCCAUCAAGAAAGGACAGAGCGGCUGAGUAUGACGACACAUGCCUGUAAAUAAUCCUCUAUAUCUUCAAGUUCUAUAUCCAACCUUGGCUUGAAAAUA